GACAGAGGAUGCAAGUGUUAUCCGGAAUCACUGGGCGUAAAGCGUCUGUAGGUGGUCAAAUAAGUCAACUGUUAAAUCUUGAGGCUCAACCUCAAAAUCGCAGUCGAAACUAUUAGACUAGAGUAUAGUAGGGGUAAAGGGAAUUUCCAGUGGAGCGGUGAAAUGCGUAGAGAUUGGAAAGAACACCGAUGGCGAAGGCACUUUACUGGGCUAUUACUAACACUCAGAGACGAAAGCUAGGGUAGCAAAUGGG
rnacentral:rRNA from 1 species